GACGUAGGGCGCGAGCGUUGUCCGGAUUUAUUGGGCGUAAAGGGCUCGUAGGCGGUCCAUCGCGUCGGGAGUGAAAAGCUGGGGCUUAACCCCAGUCCUGCUUCCGAUACGGGUGGACUAGAGGUAGGCAGGGGAGAACGGAAUCCUGGUGUAGCGGUGAAAGUGCGCAGAUAUCAGGAGGAACACCGGUGGCGAAGGCGGGUCUCUGGGCCGAUACUG
rnacentral:rRNA from 1 species